ACGGGGACAAAUUGUUUUCUUCUUCUUAUUUCUGUGUCUAAAAAGCAGUGUUUUCUGGCAAGCCAGGACGAUAUCCGAUGGUUUCCAAGCUUUACAGAGAAACAAACCAUCCAACCCAGCAGAUUUCUAGUCUCCAUCUCAUCAACCUUAUCACCAAACUGAAUCAAGUCUUGUUAGAGACGAACAAAACAAAUCCAUGGCCGGUGUGGGGAGCUGUUUUCCUGCAACACGGCACUGCCAUCUUCGAGGGACCACGCCAAUAAUAUCUCGGACUUUAAAAUGUUUGAAGCUCGAUCGCAAUGUAGCUAUAGUUGUGUUUGUAUCAAGUCGAGUGAGGAAGCAUGGCGCCCCCAGCUGCGAGCCUCGAUGGUCUGCCAACUUCCACGCUUGCUCAUCCCUUGCUCCAAGGAGGCCGCCCUCCUUAUGCCCACAAGUUCUCCAAGGCGCAACUGGAAGCACUCGAGGCCCUGUGCUCUACAUUCGUUCCGCAGGUUUCGUCCCCCGAUGGCAGCCACAGAGAGUUUUACGAGCUCUCUGGGGAGGCAGACGCAGAGAUGGUGAGCAGGCCGAGCUAGAAAAGCAAAAAAGAUGGCUUUGCUUGCGUUUGUUUGUAGGUGGCGGGGAGGAUGACACAGUUUAUCCAUCCCAAGCUUUUGAGGAGAGCCGAGGAGGUGCUGGGCAUGCUCUCCACGCCCAAGUCCACUCCGCAGUACCCCUACGACAAGAAGUUCAGUGAGGUGCCGCUCGAGGAGCGAGAGAAACUUAUGUACCAGUGGGCCAACAGCGACGACGACGAUUCCCGUCUCAACUUCAAGAUCUUCAAGACGUUCAUCCUCAACACUGUCUAUAGCAAGGUGCCAUGGUUUAAAAAGACGCUCUCUAUAUCAAGACAUUGUACCUCUUGGCUUGCAGGUGGAUGCUAAGGGCUACAACCCGACCUGGGAAGCCAUCGGCUAUGCGGGACCGGAUCCAAACUCCAUGAAAGCAACGUUGCCUCCAAAGCCGUCAGCUCUCAAGUCCGCCGUCUUCGACGUCAGAGAGCACCCCGACCUGCGAGGAGUCCUCAAGCACACGGGUUACACUCUACUGGAUGACAUAUCUCACCUCAAGCCGGCGCUCCUGCCUUCCAACAAGCUCGAGGACGGAGAGGACGUGAUUGGCAUCAAAUGCGACGUGAUCAUUGUUGGAGCUGGCAGCGGAGGAAGCGUUCCAGCUCAGGUCCUGUCCACUGCCGGCCUCAAAGUUUUGCUGCUGGAAAAAGGCCGCUACUUUGCGAGAGAAGAUCUGUCCCUGCUCGAGCAACCGACUUUCAGCGAGCUCUACGAAGAAGGCGGAUUUCUGGCAACUGACGACGUUGCUUACUCGCUCAUGUCCGCUGCGGUGGUGGGAGGCGGAACUUGCAUCAACUGGGCGGCAUCCUUCCAGACUCCGCCUCACGUCCGCCAGGAAUGGGCCGAGGAGUGUGGACUUCCCAUGUUUACCAGCGAAAAGUACCAGCAAGCUCUGGAUCUCAUCUGCAAGAAGAUCGGUGUUCAGCCCAAUGCAACAGUGGAAAGCUUCCAGAAUGCAGUCCUGCGCAAGGGAUGCGUGGAGCUUGGCCUCCACAGCGCAAAUAUACCGAGAAACGCGAGCCCGGAACACUAUUGCGGCUGCUGUAACAUGGGAUGCCGACGGGGUAUGAAGCAAGCGACCACCGAGACUUGGCUGGUGGAAGCAGCGGCAGCGGGAGCGACCAUCCUCACGGGAACAAAAGGCUUGCAAGUGCUAUUCACGGACGGGACCAAGAAGGAGAAGAAAGCCAUCGGUGUGUUGGCCACCACCUUGGGUGACCAGCCAAAGAAGUUGAUCAUCGAGGCCAAAGCGACCAUCGUGUCCACCGGCUCUAUCAUGACACCACCGCUGCUCAUCAGGAGUGGACUCACGAAUCCAAACAUUGGGAAACACUUCCACAUCCAUCCGGUGCUGGGAGUGUGGGGAUACUUCCCGGACGAGGAGAAGAACCCGGGAGCUAGCUUCGAAGGAGGGAUCAUGACGGCCUUUAGCGCGGUGAGCGCACGCUGGGACACAGUCGGCUAUGGUCCGGUGCUCAUGACACCGAGCUUCCACCCCGGACAGUACGCUUCGGUGGUAACUUGGAAAUCUGGAGCUCAGCACAAGGAGGCAAUGCGGAGGUUCAGACGAGUCUCUCAGGUGGUGCUCUUCACUCGUGACAAAGGAGCUGGGAGUAUCGGAGUGGACAAGAAGACGGACGAGAUCACGAUCGAGUAUACUCUAGAUCCAUACGACGAGGAGGUUUGCCUGGAGGGAGCGGAGAAAGGACUUCGCGUGCUCAAGGCAGCGGGGGCAGUGGAAGUCGGGACGCACCACCACGACGCUGAAAGCUUCACGUUUGGCAAGUCGACAAGCUGGAAAGAAGAGAAGAAGCGAUUCGAGGAGUACCUUGCGAGCGUGAGAAGCAAAGGGCUCAAGCCCAACCGGCUGCCAAUGGUAUCGUAUCACUUGCUGGGAUCGUGCCGGAUGGGAUCCAGCCCCGAGAACUCGGUGAUUGAUGCCAAAGGCGAGACUUGGGAUGCUGAAGGCCUCUUCCUCACGGACGCCAGCGUCUUUCCCACACCCACUGGUCUCAACCCCAUGGUCACUAUCCAGUCCAUCGCCUACUGCACUGCACAGAACGUUGUGGAGCAUGUCAAGUCGUCCAAGUGAAAGAGCAGAGCUCUAAGCUCUAAGCAAAAUCAUACCAGAGUUUGUAUUGUUUGUGAAGUACUGUGAUGGAAUAAGAACAGCGACGUAUGCCUGUUUUACGAGAGGAGAAAGAAGAUUUAGAUUCUUCGUCCCAGCAAGAGACAAACAGCUGCCAAGGAAAGAUCAGCCACAAAACUGGCUUUGUCAAUAUUGCUCUAGAGACAAACAACUCCACCAAGAGAAAAAGAAAUGCGUCCUAGUUGGAUAGAGAUGUCAGAGACUUACUUGGAUAAGGCAUCAGGACUGCAGCAUCGUCCACAAAGCCAGUCUUUUGAGGACAAAAUAAGUAUUGCCCCACACUGGAAAACCAAGAAGGAAGCAGAUCCCUGCUGGAAGGACAGGGACAUCGAGAGAAAAUGUGAGGUAGCCGGAGGUCGCUUUCCAUCCACCCUAAUAAAAUCCCAAGAACCCUAAAAAGCAGCUAUUUGCAAAUUAGUGUAGACUUUACAAUAAGUAAAUGAUUUUAACUCCAACACAAAAAGAAGUAUAAAAUUUGAGCUAAAAGAAAUUCCCUAGGGGUAAAUAUCAGAUUUUCAAUCAUGUGGAAAAUGGGGCAAAAUGUUUCUAGACAGUAGACAGGGCCCCAUAGCUAACUGUUUAUGAGUAAAGAUCCCUGGGCCGUGGAUUCCUUUAGCACGUUCUCCCUCCUGGAAAUUAUAAUGUUCCUUUAAAUCUUUUUGAGUAUGGUUCCCCAAGAACCCUAAAAGCAAGGAGUUUUAGGGUUCUAUGGCGAUGGCAAUGCGGAGGAGCGGCUGCUCGGCCAGGAUAAGGUGGGUGAUGCCGCAUUUCACUCCCUCGAGCUUCUGUAGCAGCAGCGCAUCGUCAUCGUCCGGAGAAAUCGCCGCAAGCAGCAGCACGGAGAUCGCAAGCGAUGGAGAAACCGGGAUUACUCCAAAGGCAAGGAGGAGGAGAAGGAGGUCCAAAUCCAAGGCCGACGACAGCUGCGCUGCCAAGCUCACCAUCAACAUCAAGACCGCGAUGCGUGAGUUUCGGCUGGGAGACAUCCCCAACGCCAAGGUGUGUGGGCUGCCCACGGAGAGGUCGCUCUUCACCGUCAUCCAGGGGCCUCACAUCGACAAGAAAUCGCGCGAGCAGUUUGAUAUCCAGACGCGGAAGUGGCGCGUCACCAUCGAUACGGAGACGAGUAAGUUGCGAGAGAAGCUCGAGUUUCUCAAGGAGCACAGGAUUC
rnacentral:lncRNA from 1 species